rnacentral:rRNA from 1 species
UACAGAGGGUGCAAGCGUUAAUCGGAAUUACUGGGCGUAAAGCGUGCGUAGUCGGUUAUUUAAGUCGGGCGUGAAAGCCCCGGGCUCAACCUGGGAAUUGCGUUCGAUACUGGAUAGCUAGAGUUCGGCAGAGGGAAGCGGAAUUUCCGGUGUAGCGGUGAAAUGCGUAGAUAUCGGAAGGAACAUCAGUGGCGAAGGCGAAUCCCUGGAAAAUACCUGACACUGAGGCACGAAAGCUAGGGGAGCAAACAGG